UUUUAUGCAUAAAUCAAAGCCCCAUCAGCAUAUAUAAAAGCUACAUGUAAAGCAUCUCAAGCCCUUAAUUUUUCACAUCUUAUAUCUACACCAAUCUGAUACUUGUAAGUUAGCUAGGGUUCCUCAAGAAAUAAAUAUGUAAGACGAGACUUGUCAGAAUUCAAAAGCACACAUCAAGCCCUAAUUCAAAAUAUAUGUAGCAGAGAAGGGUUUCACAGAAAUAGAUGUGUACUCAUAUUAACAUGGAAAUAGAAAUUAAAUAUAUGCAUAUAUAUAGGUCAAAUUUACUCAAAUGUUCUUAGGUAUAUGUUUCAAAGAACAGUAUUUAUUGCCAUACAUUCACAUAUAUAGAAAAUCCAGAUCUCUAGAGUAUGCACCUCCUGCAGCUUUCAGAAACUUGCACCAAUCGAGUCUCCAAACAAACGAUACAGAACAGCCACGUAGAAUAUAUCAUCAUAAUAAUCAACAGAAGAGAGAGAGAGAGAGAGUGGUUUGUAAGUGAAUGUGAAGAGAAGACGGUUG
rnacentral:misc_RNA from 1 species